CGCAAUGCCAUGGGACAGCAGAGAAUGUCUGACCCUUGCCAUGAUGUCUGUUGAACGGAAGAUGCUCCAGAACACCAAGUCAGAUGAAAGUCAUCGUGGAGUUCACCAAGAAGGCCCAGAGGAUGGAAGUUAUAAGAGGCCAGUCUUCACUCAGACAUCUCCGGUCGUUCCAAAUGCUGCUGCUCAUCUCUUAACUAGAGCACGGGGUCGAGUUUUGCCACUUAAAUUUUUGCUUUCCAAACAAAUCUGAUGAAAAGGCCGAAGGAUCGAUUGCCAGCGUCCAACUACGAGGCUGCAGGGGUCCUGCGGCAUUAAACAGACUCGAACGCGGUCAGAGAAGAAGUCUUUUAUUCAGCACGGUUUCAAAUGUUUUCAAAGGAGAGAGAGAGCAAGGAGAUGAUUGUUUGAGGGUGACAGGGCAAACAUUGAGGAUCAAAUGUACAAGAUCCCCCCCGAGCAAUAAAUGUUCCACAAUGUGAAAUCCCCUGCAGUAAGAGCGUAACUACAGAAGUACCGUCCUAUUGUGUGUACUAAGUACUUAAGUAGUCCAACCUGACCUUCAUAACUAUGAGUUCUUUCUUUCAUGUGUCAUAGCACGAAGUCCAUCUCGAAACAAGUCAACUGGAGGGAAAAAAGCAAACAAUGCAAAUCACUUUUUUUUUUUCCUCAUUUGGGCACCAUUUUUUUUUUUUUUUGGUUGAAAAAAAAACUAACAACCAAUCUAGGACUGUCCACCAAGCAUUACCACUCAUACAACUUCUAAUUGCAGCUUGGAAUCAAAUACUGCAUGAAAAAUAACAUCCCAUAAUGUGCCACAAAUUCAUAUCCGUUUUUUUUUUUUUUUUUUUUUUUUU